GAUACAAUAUUGUGUUUUGAGUUUAUAGCAGAAUAUAUUCAGAUAAGAAAAAUUCAUAAAUUAUAAUCAACUUUUAUCAAUAGUGUUGAAGGGCCGAAGUAAUUGCCAUAUUGUUUAGGCAAGUGUACCGGUGGGCGUCGUUUGGUACAGCAAGUGAAAUGCGCUAACCUCUUACGAGAGCUUGGGGCCCAUAAAUUUGGCACUAACAGCUCUGAUCAAUGGCUUAUCUACUCUAAUGAUGAAGCAAAUGCAGACACCUCUAACUGUUAAUAAAUGACGGUCUUUUUACUGGAUCAAGCAACAUGACCUGAAAGACAAUUAAGUUAAGCUUAACUGCCAUUUCCAAGGGAAUCCUAAAGAGAAUGCCAUCUUUGGCAAUUUCUCCUUGCCCUCAUGUAUAGCCAAGGCACCAUAGACAUCUUGUGCUCAAAACACUUGUAUCCCUAAUGUCAUUGGAACAGAAAACACAUUGUCCAGGUACUUUAUAUUUCGGCAGAGUCACGCUUUCUUCGUUUCUUUUCGUUUCCUUUUCUUUCCACUUGCCAUUUUGUGUAUAAAAUAAUGCAUUAACAAUUGUAACACUCCUGAAAUAAAAUGCAGAAAGUAUGCCAACCACUACCCUUUUUGAAUUUUGGGGUGGAUGAUGCAUAUCAGACAACAAUUAGACCUUAAUUUUAAACUCGUUAGAGUUAGUUUUAUAAUUUUCUCUUUU
rnacentral:misc_RNA from 1 species